rnacentral:rRNA from 1 species
UACGUAGGUGGCAAGCGUUGUCCGGAAUUAUUGGGCGUAAAGCGCGCGCAGGUGGUUCCUUAAGUCUGAUGUGAAAGCCCACGGCUCAACCGUGGAGGGUCAUUGGAAAACUGGGGGAACUUGAGUGCAGAAGAGGAAAGUGGAAUUCCAAGUGUAGCGGUGAAAUGCGUAGAGAUUUGGAGGAACACCAGUGGCGAAGGCGACUUUUCUGGUCUGUAACUGACACUGAGGCGCGAAAAGCGUGGGGGAGCAAAC